CAGUAGCCACGGGAAUACGUAGGUGGCAAGCGUUGUCCGGAAUUAUUGGGCGUAAAGGGCUCGCAGGCGGUUUCCUAAGUCUGAUGUGAAAGCCCCCGGCUCAACCGGGGAGGGUCAUUGGAAACUGGGAAACUUGAGUGCAGAAGAGGAGAGUGGAAUUCCACGUGUAGCGGUGAAAUGCGUAGAGAUGUGGAGGAACACCAGUGGCGAAGGCGACUCUCUGGUCUGUAACUGAUGCUGAGGAGCGAAAGCGUGGGGAGCGAACAGGAUUAGAUACCCGUGUAGUCCCUGUCUCUUAUAC
rnacentral:rRNA from 1 species